rnacentral:rRNA from 1 species
AUGGCGUCCGAAGUGGAUCCCGCCGUGGAGCCCCACAUCGUCGUUGAGGAGUCGUCCAGCGCCGGAGGCAGCCGAGAGGAGGCGCCCCCAGAGGCUUCGGCGGUAGAAGCGGUGGUCGAGACAGAGCCGGCGGAUGCGGAGGAAGAAGGGGAAUGCGGGUUCUGCCUGUACAUGAAAGCCGGAGGUUGCAAGGAGGCGUUCGUGUCGUGGGAGGAGUGCAUGCAGGCGGCGGAGAAGGAGGGCUCCGACAUGGUUGAGCGCUGCUUCCAAGUCACCACCGACCUCAAGAAGUGCAUGGACGCCCACGCCGACUACUACGCCCCCGUGCUCCAGGCUGAGCAGACCGUCUCCGACCAAGCCGAAGCGGCCAUCGCUGCUGCCACCGCCGAUACAAACAAGAACAGCGGAGAGGAAUCCGCUCCCUCCCUGGACACUGAUUGGGUGGUGGUUGAGGAGGCUACUUCCUCCACGCCCGCCGAGGGGGUGAAGAAGGAAGAAGCAAUCGUCGACAAGGCAGAGUCCUUGUCUUUGGGUAACUAA